GACGAACGCUGGCGGCGUGCUUAACACAUGCAAGUCGAACGGACAGGCCCUGCUUUUGUGGGGUGCUCGAGUGGCGAACGGGUGAGUAACACGUGAGUAACCUGUCCUUGACUUUGGGAUAACUUCAGGAAACUGGGGCUAAUAUCGCAUAGGAUCUCCUGCUGCAUGGUGGGGGUUGGAAAGUUUCGGCGGUUGGGGAUGGACUCGCGGCUUAUCAGCUUGUUGGUGGGGUAGUGGAUUACCAAGGGUUUGACGGGUAGCCGGCCUGAGAGGGUGGACGGCCACAUGGGGACUGAGAGACGGCGCAGAAGGGUACGGGAGGCAGCGGGGGGGAAUAUUGCAGAAUGGGCGGAAGCGUGAGGCAGCAGCGCCGCGUGCGGGAUGACGGGCUUCGGGUUGUAAACCGCUUUCGCAUGUGACGAAGCGGGAGUGACGGUAAUGGGUAAAGAAGCACCGGCUAACUACGUG
rnacentral:rRNA from 1 species